GUUGUCCAUGAUGAUAGAGUUCUUAGUUGGCCUGAAUUCUUUCUGGAAUAUGAGGGCAACUUUAGUCACUACCUCUUCUGAGACAC